rnacentral:rRNA from 1 species
GGCAGCAGUGGGGAAUAUUGGACAAUGGGCGAAAGCCUGAUCCAGCCAUGCCGCGUGUGCGAAGAAGGUCUUCGGAUUGUAAAGCACUUUAAGUUGGGGGGAAGGGCAGUAAGUUAAUACCUUGCUGUUUUGACGUUACCGACAGAAUAAGCAUCGGCUAACUCUGUGCCAGCAGCCGCG